rnacentral:rRNA from 1 species
UACGAAGGGUGCAAGCGUUACUCGGAAUUACUGGGCGUAAAGCGUGCGUAGGUGGUGAGUUAAGUCUGUCGUGAAAGCCCCGGGCUCAACCUGGGAAUUGCAUUCGAGACUGAAUAGCUAGGGUACGGUAGAGGGAAGCGGAAUUCCUGGUGUAGCGGUGAAAUGCGUAGAGAUGUGGAGGAACACCAGUGGCGAAGGCGGGUCUCUGGGCAAUAACUGACGCUGAGGAGCGAAAGCGUGGGGAGCGAACAGG